GCGUUCACAGGAGUCCCCUGACACCUCCCACCCGGAAGAUAGCUAACGGGGGUCCUGCCAACCCUUCCCAUCCAACUUCCAUCUGAAAAGGAUUUUCUGCUAAAGUUGGGUCCACGGCCAUCCGGCACCUGUAAAGCCGGCGGGAGCGUCUGCCCUCUACUCAGUUAAAGCCUGAAGUCGUUUCCUUUCGAUGGCCCUUAGGAGGCUCAAAAGAGGGGCGACAGAUCGUGAUGUGACACGGGCCGGGCGCCCCCAGAAACCCGGGAACAAACGUUUCUACUUUCCAGGUCCACUGGUGUUUGGUGUACCCAUGUGACUAAUUUGUCCAAAGAGAUAUCUCAGCUGAAAUGAAACCUCCUCAGAAAAAUUUGUUCCUGACAAAUUAUAACUCAAAAAUCAAAAAUUUCUAAGACCUUUGUUAUUCUCUUUAUCAUAGCAUUGUACUCAUUUUCUUCUUAGUACUUAGAAACGUCUAUAAUUGUUUUACUUCUUUGUUUACCAUUAACUGUCUGUAUCCUUUA
rnacentral:lncRNA from 1 species